rnacentral:rRNA from 1 species
GACGAACCGUGCGAACGUUGUUCGGAAUCACUGGGCUUAAAGGGCGCGUAGGCGGGCCGCCGCGUCCGGGGUGAAAUCCCCCCGCUCAACGGGGGAACGGCCUCGGAUACGGGCGGUCUGGAGGCGGGUAGGGGCACGCGGAACUGUGGGUGGAGCGGUGAAAUGCGUUGAGAUCCACAGGAACGCCGGUGGCGAAGGCGGCGUGCUGGACCCGAUCUGACGCUGAGGCGCGAAAACCAGGGGAGCGAACGGG